CCUACGGGAGGCAGCAGUGGGGGAUAUUGCUCAAUGGGGGAAACCCUGAAGCAGCGACGCCGCGUGUAGGAAGACGGUCCUAUGGAUUGUAAACUACUGUCACCAGGGACGAAGAUGACGGUACCUGGGGAGGAAGCUCCGGCUAACUACGUGCCAGCAGCCGCGGUAAUACGUAGGGAGCGAGCGUUGUCCGGAUUUACUGGGUGUAAAGGGAGCGUAGGCGGGGAUGCAAGUUGGGUGUUAAAUCUACGGGAUCAACUGGUAGUCGCACUCAAAACUGCAGCUCUUGAGUGAAGUAGAGGCAUGCGGAAUGCGUGGUGUAGCGGUGAAAUGCAUAGAUAUUAGGAGGAACACCAAUUGCGAAGGCAGCCUGCUGGGCUUUUACUGACGCUGAGGCUCGAAAGUGUGGGGAGCGAACAGGAUUAGAUACCCUGGUAGUC
rnacentral:rRNA from 1 species